rnacentral:rRNA from 1 species
CCUACGGGCGGCUGCAGUGGGGAAUAUUGCACAAUGGGCGCAAGCCUGAUGCAGCCAUGCCGCGUGUGUGAAGAAGGCCUUCGGGUUGUAAAGCACUUUCAGCGGGGAGGAAGGCGUUAAGGUUAAUAACCUUGUCGAUUGACGUUACCCGCAGAAGAAGCACCGGCUAACUCCGUGCCAGCAGCCGCGGUAAUACGGAGGGUGCAAGCGUUAAUCGGAAUUACUGGGCGUAAAGCGCACGCAGGCGGUCUGUCAAGUCGGAUGUGAAAUCCCUGGGCUCAACCUGGGAACUGCAUUCGAAACUGGCAGGCUAGAGUCUUGUAGAGGGGGGUAGAAUUCCAGGUGUAGCGGUGAAAUGCGUAGAGACCUGGAGGAAUACCGGUGGCGAAGGCGGCCCCCUGGACAAAGACUGACGCUCAGGUGCGAAAGCGUGGGGAGCAAACAGGAUUAGAUACCCGAGUAGUC